GGGUGCGGUCCCCAUCUAAGUGCCCUGGAACGGGCCGUCAUAGAGGGUGAGAAUCCCGUCUGGGAUGGGUGGCCGUGCCCGUGUGAAGCUCCUUCGACGAGUCGAGUUGUUUGGGAAUGCAGCUCUAAAUGGGUGGUAAAUUUCAUCUAAAGCUAAAUAUUGGCCGGAGACCGAUAGCGCACAAGUAGAGUGAUCGAAAGAUGAAAAGCACUUUGAAAAGAGAGUUAAACAGCACGUGAAAUUGUUGAAAGGGAAGCGCUUGCGACCAGACUCGCCCGCGGGGGUUCAGCCGGUACUCGUACCGGUCUAUUCCCCCGUGGGCGGGCCAGCGUCGGUUUGGGCGGCCGGUCAAAGGCCCCCGGAAUGUGUCGCCUCUCGGGGCGUCUUAUAGCCGGGGGUGCAAUGCGGCCAGCCUGGACCGAGGAACGCGCUUCGGCACGGACGCUGGCGUAAUGGUCGUAAGCGGCCCGUCUUGAAACACGGACCAAGGAGUCUAACAUCUACGCGAGUGUUCGGGUGUCAAACCCGUCCGCGCAGUGAAAGCGAACGGAGGUGGGAACCUUUCGGGGUGCACCAUCGACCGAUCCUGAUGUCUUCGGAUGGAUUUGAGUAAGAGCGUAGCUGUUGGGACCCGAAAGAUGGUGAACUAUGCCUGAAUAGGGCGAAGCCAGAGGAAACUCUGGUGGAGGCUCGCAGCGGUUCUGACGUGCAAAUCGAUCGUCAAAUUUGGGUAUAGGGGCGAAA
rnacentral:rRNA from 1 species